CCUACGGGUGGCAGCAGUGGGGAAUAUUGCACAAUGGGGGAAACCCUGAUGCAGCAACGCCGCGUGAGUGAAGAAGUUUCUCUGUAUGUAAAGCUCUAUUAGCAGGGAAGAGAAUGACGGUACCUGUCUAAGAAUCCCCGUCCAACUUCGUUCCAGCCGCCGUGGCUACACGUAGGGGGCGAGCGUUAUCCGGAUUUACCGGGUGUAAAGGGAGUGUAGGCGGUUUCGCAAGUCAGUAGUGAAAGUCCGUGGCUUAACCGCGGAACGGCUUUGGAAACCGUGGAACUGGAGUGCAGGAGAGGCAGGCGGAAUGCCUGGUGUAGCGGUGAAAUGCGUAGAUAUCAGGAAGAACACCGGUGGCGAAGGCGGCUUACUGGACUGUAACUGACGUUGAGGCACGAAAGCGUGGGGAGCAAACAGGAUUAGAUACCCCUGUAGUC
rnacentral:rRNA from 1 species